rnacentral:rRNA from 1 species
AUUCCAGCUCCAAUAGCGUAUAUUAAAGUUGUUGCGGUUAAAAAGCUCGUAGUUGGAUUUCUGUCAAAGGUAAGGCGGUCCAUCUUAUGGAUGUGCAUCUGCCUAUGCCUUGGCAUCCUCAUGAAGAACGUUUUCGCGCUUCACUGCGUGUUUACGGUAUUCAUGACUUUUACUUUGAGGAAAUUAGAGUGUUCACGGCAGGCAAUCGCUUUGGAUACAUUAGCAUGGAAUAAUACUAUAGGACCUCGGUUCUAUUUUGUUGGUUUCUAGAGCUGAGGUAAUGAUUAAUAGGGAUAAUUGGGGGUCUUUGUAUUGCAACGUCAGAGGUGAAGUUCUUGGAAUGUUGCACGACAAACUACUGCGAAAGCAUUGACCAAGGAUGUUUUCAUCG